UUUCAAGUCUUUGCUUUUUAGUAUCUUAUGUCUGUGCUGUCAACAACGUUUCUGGUAUUGAGGUGUUUAUGAUGGGGUCAUAAAACUGCAGUGUGAAGUACGUGAUUGAACUGCUAUGAUAAUUUAUUGUUCAUGAUACUUAGAACAAAAAUGAUCCAUGGCGUGUUUGAGAAUUCCACAUAAAAAUAGGUGUUACAGGUCGACCAUGAAAUUACAAGUGUCUUUGUCAUACGUGCUCUCCAAACCACAUAGUCUCUGUUGCUGGAGAUUCUACCCCUUGAUCCAGAGAUCUCAGCCUGAAGUGGCAGGUGAGUAUCAGCAGGGUGUAGAGUGCUCAUUGCUUUGGGAUGUUUCUAGGAGAAGGAGUGAAGCUAGGCCAAGUGUGGUAAGGCUCAGUAGAGUGAUUUGAGAAAUGCAGAAGGGUUUGUUUCCUCAAUCCUUUGGCAUCUGAUUCCUUGGCAGAAAACACUGGUAGCCACUGAUGCAGGUACUGCACAUUGUAAGGCAGGUUCCUGAUCUGACUUGGGUUAGAAAUCGCUGCUUCGGCCCUUUUUUUUUUUUUUUUUGUGGGUUCUACUCCUACCACAAAGUUUAAUUCACACUUUCAAGGUUCACUAAAGACUAUUCAGAAUAGCUAUUCUGAGUGUAAUGCUGUCUUAAAGUACCUCAGCCUCAUUGUAAAGCUUUUGCAAAAACAAACCAUGAAAUAAACCCAAAACAGAGCCUUCUUAUUUUCAUAUAAUCCUGGAUAAUUUUAGCUUUUCCUGAAAGCCAAUCAUAAUGCUUACAUUCUGUGUCCUACUUUUCUCCUGGGGUGUAGGAAAAACAACUGUGACAUAAUAAUCUUUCUGUAGCUAUCCUGCUUCUGUUGUUAUAUCUGUGCUUGAUUAUGUCACAGUUCUACUCAAGAAAGGUAACUGAGAAGCUCAGUAUGAAGCUGCAGAGGCAAAGACAUCCAUCCUUAGCUUUGCCAACCUACAGGGAGCUCAGAUGGGAAACACCUCUUUCACUGCAUAAUUUUCAUUCCCAGAACUUCAGUUCCAAAAGUAGAGUGGUUUAGCUUUUACUUGAUUUGGAAGCCUUGUGGUUUUUCUAUCUUUAAUGAUAUUAAAAAGCAACAACAACAACAACAACAACAAAACACUUAAUUUAGCUGAGAAAUUUGCCACUAUAUGAUAAAGUGAAACCUCAGCAUGUCAGGCACAUUAUUUUGUGCAAGGUUUCUGAGUACUCUGUUCUUGAUGGAGGGUGAGAGUUUGUCCAGAGGGACGCGUCCUCUACUAGAGAAACACCAAAAGCUCUGAAGGUCUUACAUUACAAACUUGCUGGCUUGUUAUUUACUAAUUGAAAUCCCUUUCAUAAUGUUGUUAGUAACACAUCAUGUAUGUGGGAAGGAUUUUAAGCGUAUGUGCUGUGUAUUCCUUAGCUCUGUCCUUGUCUCAUUUCCUGCAAUGGGGUUACAAGGGCUGGACUGAGCCAUAAGUGGAAACCAGUCAGAAUGAUGUUCUGAAGCUUCUGCACGUGUAUGCACAUUUGUCGUGGGAGUGGUUGGUUGGUUUUCUUUUAACUGCUCUGCAUAAUGACCGGGUAAACAAUGAACAAAGACACCUUAAAAAAUAUUAAGAUUUAUUUUACUACUGAAACCUGGUGUAGCCAACUCUUCAGAGCUCCUCAAACCUCAUUUAUGCUUUCCUCUAAUUUAAAAAUUCUGAGGCUGAUCCUACCAUUGAGAGCUGCUCUUGGUAUUAGAUACGAUGCUUCUAAUUUCUGGUUUGUGUUGUGACCUGCUUAAGGAGAUUAAACGAUGCAGGAUAAUUGAUUUCUCAUCUGAGAGUCAGACUGAAAGCACUAAAUCAAUUCUGUCCUCUUACGUUUUGUUGCCAUUGAAAUUUCUUUAAAGGAGCUGAUGUUUCUUCUUUCCCAGAGUAAUAAACUAGGUAAUAC
ensembl:lncRNA